CUGGUUGAUCCUGCCAGUAGUCAUAUGCUUGUCUCAAAGAUUAAGCCAUGCAUGUCUAAGCACACGCCUCAAUACGGUGAAGCCGCGAAUAGCUCAUUACAACAGCCAUCGUUUACUAGAAUAUAGUUUCCUACUUGGAUAACUGUGGCAAUUCUAGAGCUAAUACAUGCAAAAAAGCUCUAACCGCAAGGAAAGAGCGCAUUUAUUAGAAUAAAAACCAAUCGGGUUUCGGCCCGUGAUUUGGUGAAUCUGAAUAACUUUGCCAAUCGCAUAGACUCGUUCUAGCGAUGUAUCUUUCAAGUGUCUGCCUUAUCAACUUUCGAUGGUAGGUUAUACGCCUACCAUGGUAGUAACGGGUAACGGAGAAUAAGGGUUUGACUCCGGAGAGGGAGCCUGAGAAACGGCUACCACAUCCAAGGAAGGCAGCAGGCGCGCAAAUUACCCACUUCCAGAACGGAGAGGUAGUGACGAAAAAUAACGAGACAGUCCUCUUCGAGGUCUGUCAUCGGAAUGGGUACAAUUUAAAUCCUUUAACGAGGAUCUAUUGGAGGACAAGUCUGGUGCCA
rnacentral:rRNA from 1 species